rnacentral:lncRNA from 14 species
CUUCUUUAAAAAGCACUGAUUAUCAUACUCCCUAGAAAUCUGCAGAUUUAAGAAAAGUGAUGAAGAUGGAAGGCUAACUACAAUCCAGAUGAAAUAUCUAAGGGAUUUUUUUUAGUGAAACAAAGAGAAAAAGAAAUAGCUCAGAAGAUGAGAUUUUUAAAGAGGUUUUUGAUGCAUGGACAAGGCAGGAGGAGGAAAGAGCUGGAGCAUCCUGGGUGUUUGACUGCUGUUACACCAAAUUGGGGCCAAAGGGAAUCAGAACCCUGUAUUCCAAGGUAUUGAAAAAUUUCCAGAUCUAAAGACAAAUUCUAUCCUGUCCAUUUCCAAGACAUUUGUUUGAAGAAAGACUUCUAAAGACCAUGGGUGAAACUGUCAUUGCUCUACACAGACAAAUGUUCAGAUGUCUGUUUCUGCCAUUCACACUCACGUGGACAGCAGCUAACUCUGCAAGCAGAUCAAUUUUUUUAUGACACAAUAAAUGUUUAAAAAUAU